CCGAAGCGCUGGGAACCCGAGCCCGCGAGCCGGUCUGAGCGGUGGUGCUGACCCCGCCUUCUAUGAGAACUCCGAGUCGGGACCGGACGGCGCGGCCGGAUCCCCGCGCCUCAUCGGAAUUUGACCCUCGGAGCUCCGAGGGGACCCCUCUCUUUGCGGCCGGCCUCGAUCGGCUUCUCAGCACCCCGGCCCUGGCCCUAGCUCGGGAGAGGAUCAUGCAUGACACUGGAAGCCAGCAGUGAUGGAGCCACCUCAGAGGUUUCUAAGCCCGAAAAAGACAUGGAGCCAGAUGCAGAGGGGAUCUUCCCGACCCAGGGAUCAAACCCGUGUCUCCCACAUUGGAGGCAAAUGCUUUAACCUCUGAACCACCACGGAGUGGCCACAGAAAGGGAAUUUGAAGAGGUG
ensembl:lncRNA